GAUGAACGCUGGCGGCGUGCCUAAUACAUGCAAGUCGAGCGAACAGAUGAGGAGCUUGCUCCUCUGACGUUAGCGGCGGACGGGUGAGUAACACGUGGAUAACCUACCUAUAAGACUGGGAUAACUUCGGGAAACCGGAGCUAAUACCGGAUAAUAUAUUGAACCGCAUGGUUCAAUAGUGAAAGACGGUUUUGCUGUCACUUAUAGAUGGAUCCGCGCCGCAUUAGCUAGUUGGUAAGGUAACGGCUUACCAAGGCAACGAUGCGUAGCCGACCUGAGAGGGUGAUCGGCCACAACGGAACUGAGACACGGUCCAGACUCCUACGGGAGGCAGCAGUAGGGAAUCUUCCGCAAUGGGCGAAAGCCUGACGGAGCAACGCCGCGUGAGUGAUGAAGGUCUUCGGAUCGUAAAACUCUGUUAUUAGGGAAGAACAAAUGUGUAAGUAACUAUGCACGUCUUGACGGUACCUAAUCAGAAAGCCACGGCUAACUACGUG
rnacentral:rRNA from 1 species